rnacentral:lncRNA from 1 species
GAACCAUAUGAACUGCAGUAACUUGCAUAUUGCUUCGUUAAUUGCUGGUUUCAUCACAGCUAUUAAGAUGUUCCCAAAUAUGUACAGAGAGGCUCUUCUCCACUAUGGAACCUUUUCUCUUCUGAUUUUUAUCCUAGUUGUGCAUAAUCUAAUCAAAUGACAUGUUUAAUUAUGAUAUAAAAGUAAUUGCUUUUAAUAAUAAUGCCCACUUCAUUGUUUGACAGUUUUAUCCAGAACGAACACCCUUAGACAUGAAAAUCAGGCUUUCAAAAGUGUCACUAUAAUCCUCCCCAGUAAUCAGUACUGGUUAUCUUAGACAAUGAUUGUAGAACCAGCAUUGAUUAACUUUUUCCCUUUCAUGUUCAAAUUUGAUUCCGCCCUUUCUCGAAAAAAGUGAUGGGAAAGAGUAGCUUCCUGGCUAAUAGCUCAAGCGGUAAGCAGAAAACAAGAAAUUACUUGCAAAAUAAUAACUUGUCCUUCAGAUUGUAGCUAGUGUAUACCAUAGUGAUGUCUUAUAGCUUCAUUAUUUUUUGGUAUUAUCUCAUCAUCCUUUUUUUUAUAUCAUUUUCUGUAUUGGUAUCAUCUCAUCUUGUAGCUGGCCACUUUCAUUGAUCAGUUAGUUUUUUUCUUUCCGGUCAUAAAUUAGUUGAAUUAUCUAAAUUUCACUACUAAUUUUCAGUCUUUGACUACUGAAUUGAACUGCACAUACAGGGAGAUGAAACAGGAGAUGAAAAAGAAAAGAACUAUUAUUAAUGCAUUUAUCUACUACAAUACAAUACAAGAUGGUUUAUCAUCUCCCUCAAAAAAUAGGUUUCCCCCUAGACUGGUGAUGAUCAGAAGAGGCUCUUGAGAGCACGGAAACGAUGGAAUGAAAAGCAUUUGCUGCAAUCCUCAACUUGAUCUGUCCCCUCUUAGGCAGAGGCCCUCUACUUCUGAAACUUUCUGCAAUUGUUGCUCCACAGGCAUUACUCAUCUUGCUUCUCAUAAUUGUAUGUAUGUUAAACAAAAUCACCUUCUAUGUCUUGUUAUAAGUUGAUAUUUGACACUGCUUUUUGUUAUUGAUACAGACAAGGAGCAAUAGGUUGAUUUUUCUCUUCUCCACUUGGGAGUUUAUAUAGCACAUGGUGACUCAUCAAAAUACUACUGGCUUGGAAAA